CGGGAGCUCUGGCUGUGAUUUGCGUUUCACAAUCAAAUUUCAUUUCGCAUCACAGUCUGAGUUCUUGCU
rnacentral:pre_miRNA from 1 species